rnacentral:ncRNA from 1 species
AUUAAUUAGCGCCAGACCUAAUAAUAGGUGACGAGGUUGAUAGUUAUCGAAAUUUCGGCGGAUUCUAUCACGGAUAAUACAUUCGUUAGAUAUAUUACAAAAAAUAAAAUAAACAUUAUAACAAAAGGUAUAUCA